CCCCCCCGCUACCCUUAACUGGGCUAAGCGGUUGAAGAUGAGUGUCUAUUUUGGGGAUGUUCACCUCCUGACUUACACUCCAGUCCAGUUGAUGGCGGCAAUGUUCCUUAGGAGCUGGUUGCCAACCGCUAAUUUAACACGAAGAAGAAGCGGCUCGAGGUAGGAGGAGGAGCCGGAAGUGACGUACACGUAAGAACCAUUUUUUUUUCCCCCUCCGUUGGUACGUUUGUUUUGUUGUGAAUCGGAGGUAUUUCUGUUUAAAUGCUUCAUUUGUUAAGUUAUGCCAGCUCGUUGUGUUGUAGGCUUUUGUACGAACACUCGUGCAAAUGGAGUCAGCUUAUUUACGUUUCCUAAGGAUCCCGUUCGUCGAAAAGAGUGGGUGAAAGAAGUUCUCCGCACACCCGACCUGUGCUCGGCUCAUUUUGAAGACAGUUUUUUUUUUUGACACUGUCCCAUCCAGGAUGCAGCAGCUUGGUUUCGAUGUUCAGCAUUCCAAAAUACUGCUGCCAACAGCUGUGCCGACUAUAUUUCCGCGGCCUCGUCCAAGGACUCACCGUGAGAAAGCUGCUGGAAGCAGACGUCCGAAAGCUGUGGAAAAGCGGAAUAAACUGAGAAUAUUGAGAGAGGCCCUGGAAGAAUCGGCUAGAGGAACUGUAAGUUAUGGAAUCUGUUUUAAGAUUAACAUUGUGGAUAUUUUUUUCUUUUAUGUCAGUGUCCACAUAAAACCACAUAAAAUGUGUGUGUGCCUAUGUCUGUCUGCGUGUGUGUGUGGCAUUCAUAACACUGUAAUAUGUCAGUUGCUUUAUUGUUCUAACAAACAUAACAUGUUUCCAUGUCUUGUUUUACAUUGUGUAAUUGUUGUGGUGAUGGCCAAUAUUCAGUGUGGAUGCUAGUCACAGAAAUAUCUGCCUAGCAUCAGACACCAGACAAGAAAAGUCUCUCCACCAAAACCGCAAGCAACCAUAACAGUGAAGAAAUAAUCCAACAGAGGAAAAUAAUACAGCAACACACUCCCCACAGACCCAAUCAUGACACUGUGACUAGAUAUUGAAUAUGAUGUCAGAGUGAACUGAAGUCAUAUAACCUCAUAAAUUUCAUGUAGUUGUCAUGGACUGGGAUGUUUGGCUGGCUCUGUUUCUGUUUGUCUCUCACCAGGUGGCAUGCGUUCAGGACUGAGUGGCUGAUUAAUCUGUGGCUGAGUUUGAGGACCUCACCCUCAUCACCUGAAACCUGCAUCACCUGAAGUUCAUCGCAGCCUGAUCAGGAAUCUCAGCUGUAGCUCAUCUUUCCUGAUCAAGGGAGGCUGCAUUUAAACCCUGAAUACACAGUGCAUGAUUGCCAGAGACUUGACCUUGUGAGAUCGACUUUGUGCCGACUUGGUGAUCAACCUUGUUACAUUGGAUGCUGAAGCCGCUCCAGGUUUGACGCCACGAUUCUGGGGAGAGGAUUGGUGAGGUCUAACGCCAUUCAGCACACUUCCUAAGACUCGGUUCUGUCGCGGCCACCUGGUGCCGGUCCGGUCCCUGGGUCCAGUUUUGCUGUGCUCCAGCCCCUUUGAACUGCCGGGAGUGGGCCGUGUCCUCCACUUCACCAGACCGCCAACAUCCUUAUUUAUUUGUGUACCUUUCAUCUACUCUUUGUUUAUUAAAAUCUGUUUAUAUUCCAACCGUCCUCUGCUUCUGUCGUGCUGGGUCCAGUCAAAAGCUGGGUCGGUCUUCCACCCGCGUCCUACACAUAGCAGUAGUAUCCAUUUAGCUAGUUUUAAUUUAAAUUCACAGUGAAACUGAAUCAUCUGCAAUAAUGCUAACUGACGCUGUUAGCUAAUCAGAGAAAGUAUGCAUCAUUGGCAGAAAAAUGAAAAUCUGUACAAAUCAUAGUUAACUUUUGUUUGGUCUCAUAUUUUGAUGUAGAGAAUCAUUGAUCUGAAGCUUUUAUUAUUACAUAUAAAAUUAUUUAAACAUUAUUUGGAUUUCCUAUUAUUGUAUGAUAUAUUGGAUUAUGGUGGUAGCAUUAAAAAAUUGGUAAGUAUCACUAUAUACAACUGUUCUUGCAGUCGAAGAUAUACUUUUUACUUAGAACAAAAAACACUUUCUAGCAUUAUAUCUUAUUCAGAUAAAGCUGAACAUAUCCUUGGACCCUCUUGGAGGACUUUGCGCAUUUGACACUCGUUAUACUGCUACAUUUUUUACAUUUAUAUAAAAAAGUUUCUCAUAUAUUCUGUUAAAGCUAGUGAAACAAUAAACACUUCUAGGUGUGUGUGUGUGUGUGAGUAUGAAUGUGUUUAUAUGUGGCCCUGCCACAAACUGGUGUUCUGUCCAGGGUGUAUCCUGCCUCAUACCCUAUGAUCAGUGGGAUAAGCUCGAGCUCCCUGUGACCUGAUCUUGGAUAAGCGGUUGAAGAUGAGUGUAUGUGAGUUUUGGAUGGGUAUGAAAUAGUCAUUCUAGGAUUCUAGGCUUGUCUAAGUUAACACAUAGUUGUGUAGUACCAUUGUCUGUUAUUUCCCAUUGGUUUUUUCAUAUACCCCAAGUACACUUUGAGAUGGCGAAACUGUGAAAGGAAAGUAAUAAGUACGGUGGGAUGGACGGUCUAGUUCAGCAGUACCUUAAUGUGAAAUAUAUGGAUAUGAUUCAGAUAUU